rnacentral:rRNA from 1 species
AACGAACGCUGGCGGCAGGCCUAACACAUGCAAGUCGAACGCUCCGCAGGGGGAGUGGCGCACGGGUGAGUAACGCGUGGGAAUAUGCCCUUCGGUUCGGAAUAACACAGGGAAACUUGUGCUAAUACCGGAUACGAUCUACGGAUGAAAGAUUCAUCGCCGAAGGAGUAGCCCGCGUAGGAUUAGCUAGUCGGUGAGGUAAUGGCUCACCAAGGCGACGAUCCUUAGCUGGUCUGAGAGGAUGAUCAGCCACACUGGGACUGAGACACGGCCCAGACCCCUACGGGAGGCGGCAGUGGGGAAUAUUGGACAAUGGGCGAAAGCCUGAUCCAGCCAUGCCGCGUGAGUGAUGAAGGCCUUAGGGUUGUAAAGCUCUUUCGCCAGGGAAGAUAAUGACGGUACCUGGAAAAGAAGCCUCGGCUAACUCCGUGCCAGCAGCCGCAGUAAAAC